rnacentral:rRNA from 1 species
GAUGAACGCUGGCGGCGUGCCUAAUACAUGCAAGUCGAACGAACGGACGAUAAUCUUGCGUCUCUGAUGUUAGCGGCGGACGGGUGAGUAACGCGUGUAUAACCUACCUAUAAUUCUGGGAAAACUUCGGGAAACCGGCGCUAAUACCGUAUGAGAUUUUGAACCACAGGGGUCGAAGGUGAAAGACGGUCUUUCUGUCACGUAUAGAUGGAUCCCCGCUGCAUGAGCGAGUUGGUAGGGUAAAGGCUUACCACGGCGACGAUGCAUAACCGAACUGACAGGGUGAUAGGCCACACUGGAAGUGAGACACGGUCCAGACGCCUACGGGAGGCAGCAGUAGGGAAUGUUACGCAACGGGGGAAAGCAUGACGGAGCAACGCCGCGUGAGUGACGACGGCCUUCGGAUCGUAAAAACCUGUUACUAGGGAAGAACCUAUGUGUAAGUAAAUGUGGCGAUAGUGACGGUAACUAAUCAGAAAGCACCGGCUAACUACGUG